UUGAUACAAUGAUGAUCACAUAGUUCAGCUGAGUUUGUGAUGAAUAUACUUUAGUCUUUCGCUCCUAUCUGAUGUAUCAA